CACGUAGGGGGCGAGCGUUGUUCGGAAUCAUUGGGCGUAAAGGGUGCGCAGGCGGCAUGUCAAGUCUGGUGUGAAAGACCCCGGCUCAACCGGGGGGACGCGCUGGAAACUGACGUGCUGGAGUACAGGAGGGGGAGUUGGAAUUCCAGGUGUAGGGGUGAAAUCUGUAGAUAUCUGGAAGAACACCGGUGGCGAAGGCGAACUCCUGGCCAUGUACUGACGCUGAGGCACGAAGGCGUGGGGAGCAAACAGG
rnacentral:rRNA from 1 species